rnacentral:rRNA from 1 species
ACGGGUGAGUAACACGUGGGUAACCUGCCUCAUAGAGGGGAAUAGCCUUUCGAAAGGAAGAUUAAUACCGCAUAAGAUUGUAGUACCGCAUGGUACAGCAAUUAAAGGAGUAAUCCGCUAUGAGAUGGACCCGCGUCGCAUUAGCUAGUUGGUGAGGUAACGGCUCACCAAGGCGACGAUGCGUAGCCGACCUGAGAGGGUGAUCGGCCACAUUGGGACUGAGACACGGCCCAGACUCCUACGGGAGGCAGCAGUGGGGAAUAUUGCACAAUGGGGGAAACCCUGAUGCAGCAACGCCGCGUGAGUGAUGACGGUCUUCGGAUUGUAAAGCUCUGUCUUCAGGGACGAUAAUGACGGUACCUGAGGAGGAAGCCACGGCUAACUACGUGCCAGCAGCCGCGGUAAUACGUAGGUGGCAAGCGUUGUCCGGAUUUACUGGGCGUAAAGGGAGCGUAGGUGGAUAUUUAAGUGGGAUGUGAAAUACUCGGGCUUAACCUGGGUGCUGCAUUCCAAACUGGAUAUCUAGAGUGCAGGAGAGGAAAGUAGAAUUCCUAGU